UUUAUGUAAUUAAUAUAUUGCUGAUUAGUCAUUGACUAUGAACUAUUUAAUUUUGAAGGUCAAGGGGAUGAGACUGACAAUGAAGUUAUUAUUCAUCCAAGAUGGAGCAUGAAUAGAGACAACUUAGAAGACACCUUGCCAUUAUGUCAUAGUUCACCAAGAGAGGAAUCUAAGCCUGACCAACAAAAGAUUUCAGUCCCAAUUAGUGAAAAGCAAUUAGACAAAUGCACCACAGAAACAUC